UCUGGCCAAGUGCAUAAAGUUUCCUCAACGCUCACAACAAGCAACCUCUGACAAAAGUCCCUCUACUUCUAUUCGAGUCUCUCAGCCAACAGCCUGAAGCCCAUGGUGCUUUUCCAGGACCACAAGGUUCCAGGAUAUGCCAAAGAUCUGAUCAAGUUCCUCAAUGGAUACUCCUCCUCCUCUACUCUUUUACUGGAUGCUCAGUCUAUCCUAGAGUCAGGUCUGAGUAGAGAAUUACUCUAAACGGUUCCAGCUGCUGCUGUAUCUAGAGGAGCUACAGAUGGAGGUGGACAUUAAAAUAUACAACAAGCCCAACACUCCCAUGGUCAGAGACAAGACACUACUGGUGCUAGAGGCACACACAAACACAGAUGUACUCACACAUGGUCAGAGACAAGACCAACAAGACACUACUGGUGCUGCAGGACACACACAAACAAACAAACACUAGGAACGUAUCUCCUCCUCUACUAGAUGGCCCAGGGUUUAUCUCCAGCCCAGUAUGUUGUGUGCUCAUGCAGGUACCAGGUGAGUCAGAGAACCGUCCGUCUGUUCUGCAGGGCAACUCCAUCCUGGUGACGAGGUCAGGUGACGCUAAUAAGGGGGGCGUGGUCAAAUACCGUGGUUACGUCCACCGUGUGGAGCUGGACUCCGUCAAACUGGGAUUUGACAGGAAGUAAGGACAUGAUUGGAGGAGGCUUCUUCCCGAAGGGAUCUUAUAAAUCAAAGCUCUCUCUCUUCAUGGUUGUCUGGUUACAUUCCGAUUCUCUACUCUUUCUUCUAAAGUGCGCACUCGUUCACUCCCCCUCAUGCAUUUAAAAGCACUGGAUUAGGGAAAGCAUGGCUGGGGGGAGUUUCCACCAUAUUCCUUAUACUAGUUAAUUUCUUUUAAAUCCGUGAGGUGGCGUGUACGAGUGUACACUGCCACUCUGAACUCUCACACUAAAUUCUUACGCUGCUCUAUCAUUUGUUAGACUUUAGUCUGAAUCUUCCAUCAUUGAAAGUUGUUUUUUGGCAUUGUUUGUGGUGAAAACCAAUCCCAGUAUCAAAGCCAAUUACGUACCACAAAAACGCAGCUUCACCCAUGUGUGUUCUGGCCCAACACAUUGGUUUCUGGAACCAAUCAGACAGCCCCAAAGGGUCUAAAACAAACGUCCGUGGGUGUGGCAUUGUGUUUGAACAGAUUAAGGAGUCAGAGUAGCAGUGUUGUAAAGCACUUAAGUAAAAAUACUUGAAAGUACUACUUAAGUUGUUUUUUGGGGUAUCUGUACUUUACCAUUUAUAUUUUGGUCAACUUUUACUUUGCUGCAUUCCUAAAGAAAAUAAUGUACUUUUUACUCCUUACAUUUUCCCUGACACCCAAAAGUACUCAUUACAUUUUGAAUGGUUAGCAGGACAGAAUAUUGUACAAUUCACACACUAAUAAACAGAACCUCCCUGGUCA